rnacentral:rRNA from 1 species
UACGUAGGGGGCAAGCGUUAUCCGGAUUUACUGGGUGUAAAGGGAGCGUAGACGGCAAAGCAAGUCUGAAGUGAAAGCCCGGGGCUCAACCCCGGGACUGCUUUGGAAACUGUUCUGCUAGAGUGCUGGAGAGGUAAGCGGAAUUCCUAGUGUAGCGGUGAAAUGCGUAGAUAUUAGGAGGAACACCAGUGGCGAAGGCGGCUUACUGGACAGUAACUGACGUUGAGGCUCGAAAGCGUGGGGAGCAAACAGG